AUUUAAGCAGCAGGUUACUGACGGUUGGAGGAGUGUCCGCUCCUUUAGGCCACAAGGAUUCUAUUAAGUGCCUUAGAAGAGGUCACCUAAUCUACUGAAGGGGCCUGGAAGAUGGAAGGCUCGCCCAAACACGGGCAUCUCCUCUACCCUCCACGUCUCAACAACAGGAUCAAGAUCUAGGAAUAUUAUCUCAGCUGCCUGGGAAAGGAGCGAGAGACCCUGGUAAAUGCUGAGGAGCAGUGUGAGUCGCUGAUUAAAUCCAAGAUGCAGCUGGAGGCCAGAGUCAAGGAGCCGCCUGGGCGGGUGGAGGAAGAAGAGGAGAUAAAUUCUGAGCCGACUGCCAGGGGGCGGAAACUGGAAGAUGAAUGUUCUGAGUUGAAGAAGGAAAUCAAUGACCUGGAAACAAUCUUGGCGAAGUCAGAGGAGAAAUGUGUAGCAGAGCACUAGGUCAGCAUCCUGCUUGUCUAAAUGAGGAAGUCAGCAAACUUCUCAGAGCAGUGCAGGUCAUGCGAGAGGCUCAGCAGCAGAUGCAGCAGCAGACCUGGGAGCACCUGCAUGCAAAGGAGAAGAAACUCAGCAACAUGAGCAAAGCAAGUCUGAAGCUGAUGCCAGCUUCAAGUUGAUGCCGUGAAUAGCAGCGGGCAGACUGGUUGGCGUUCUGUCUUCAUAUGUACACAAUUCACAAUAUUUUUUCUUUUAGUAUGACAUAAUAUGUACACAUCUUUAUGGAAGACAAGUGCAUUAUUGUAAUUCAAUACAUGUGCAUAUUAUGUCAUGGUCAAAUGAAGGUAACAGUGUCCAACUGUUCUUAGCUAUGUAAUUUGUAUGUACUGAGGGUUUUGAGUUUUGCACUUACUGUAAGAAUUCUUACUCUUUGUUUUGGUGCCCAUCAUGCUCCCUUGACCUUUCCCAGUCUACAGCAACUGUUAUUCCACAUCCUUCUUCUAUGAGACUGGCUCACUAGUUCCACAAGUGCUUGAGAACAUGUGCUGUUUGCUUUUCUCAACCAAUAUAAUGAUGUCCAGUUUCAUUCAUCUGGCUAUAUCAGGUUUCAUUCCUUUAAUGGAUAAAUACCAAUCCACCUUUUAUGUAUACUGACCUAUCUUUGUCUUCUUAUCUACUAUAAACAUCUGCACUGGUUACAUAUUUCAGCAAUUGGGAAUAGUGCUGCAGUAACAUAGGAAUAUAACUUUAGGGUUUAAUGACUUUGUGUCCUUUGGAAACACACAUACACACAGUAGUGGAAUUGUUGAUUUUUACAUAUAUA
rnacentral:lncRNA from 1 species